UCAGAAUUCAGAGGCUACAUUUGUGUGAGAUCAGGCACAGACCUGGCAUCCUUUACACCCAGCCACGCCGAGUAAUCAAUCUAAUUGCUGGUUAUGCCACCAUCUAGACCGUGCCAAUGAACCUGAACUCAUUUGUGUUUCUGUCAAUGUGAGUGCCUGGUGGAACCAGUCUGGAAGAUGGAUGUAUGACGAGAUGUGGUGUCCACAACCAGAGAAGGAACAGCAUGCUGCCUCUCCUGUCGAUCGACAACGUGUACAACCUGGAGAUGAGACGUGCCGGGGAUGAGGGAGGGAAGGAGGAAGGAAGGAGGAGAGGCACAGCAAACUCUAGGCUGGGAGGCCGUGGGUUCCAGCCUGACCCUAUCUGUAAAUAACUCUGGCCCUUCUCUAUUGUGUGUGGCAAUAAAGUAUACAAGUUGUCCCCACCUAGAUCGUCAGGA